AUAAAAAAAUUUUUUAUUUAAAAAUAUAUGGGGGUUUAAGUAUUUUUAAAAGAAAAAAUAAAAAAUUUUAUAGUAAAGUAAGUAUUGUGAGAGAAAUUUUAAAUAGUUAUUAAAUAGAAAAUAUUAAAAAAGUAAAUUUUAUUUAUUGUAUCUUGUGUAUCAGAGUUUAUUAAAAAAAAAAUUAAUUGAUUAUAAUAUUCUCGAAUUAAAAAGAGAUAAUUAAUUAAAAAAAUUAUUGUAGCAAAAAUAUUUUUAAUAAUUAAUUUGAAAUGAAAUGUUAAUCGUUUUUUAAGAUAUCUAGUUUUUUUAGAAAAAAAUUUAAUUUUAAAUUUAAUUAAUUAAAAAUUUUAUUAGGUUAAUUUUUUAAUAAUUAAAAUUUAGUAUUUUUGGGGAUAAGCUUAAAAAUAAAAAAUUAUAAUAAAAAUAAAAUAAAAAUUAAAAAUUAUAAAAUUUAAAUUGUUUAGAAAUUUUAGUUUAUUAUAAAUAAUUUUAUUAAAUGUAAAAUUUUAUUAAAAAUUUAAUUUUUUAUAAAAAAAUAUAUUUUAAUAAGAGAAAUAAAGUAAUAAUGAUAAAAUUAGUAUAUAAUUAAAAAAAAAUAAAAUUUAUGGGUUAGUAAAAAAAAAGGAAUUCGGCAAAAAGUUAUAUUCACUUGUUUAUCAAAAACAUGUCUUUUUGAAGGAUAAUUUAAAGUCGAAUCUGCCCACUGAUAUUAUAUUAAAGGGCUGCAGUAUUUUGACUGUACAAAGGUAGCAUAAUCAUUAGUCUCUUAAUUGGUGACUUGUAUGAAUGAUUUGAUGAGGAAUAAACUGUCUCUUUUUUAUUAAUAAAAUUUAAUUUUUUUAUUAAAAAGUUAAAAUAAUUUUUAAAGACGGGAAGGCCCCAUAGAGUUUUUUAAAUUUAAAAAUUUUAAUAAUUUAUAAAUAAAAAAAUUUAAAUUAGAUAAUUUUUUUUGUUGGGGGGAUAGAAAAAUUAAGUAAACUUUAUAUAUAUAUAUAUAUAUAUAUAUUUACAUAGAUAAGUGAAAUAUUGAUCCAAGAAUUUUGAUUAUAAGAUUAAAUUACCUUAGGGAUAACAGCGUAAUUUUUUUUUUUAGUUCAAAUAAAAAAAAGAGUUUGCGACCUCGAUGUUGGAUUAAGAUAAAAUUUAAAUGCAAAAGUUUAAAAUUUUGAUCUGUUCGAUCAUUAAAAUCUUACAUGAUCUGAGUUCAAACCGGUGUAAGCCAGGUUGGUUUCUAUCUUUAGGAAAAAAUUAUAUUUUAGUACGAAAGGAUCAAAUAUAGAAAUUAAAUUUUAAUUUAUGAAUAUUAUUAAUUUAAAAAAAAAAUAAAAAA
rnacentral:rRNA from 1 species